GACAGAGGCCUCAAGCGUUAGGCGGAAUCACUGGGCUUAAAGCGUGUGUAGGCGGAUCGUUAAGUGCCUUGUGAAAUCCCACGGCUUAACUGUGGAACGGCUGGGCAUACUGGCGGUCUUGAGCCAUCUAGGGGCGACUGGAACAAACGGUGGAGCGGUGAAAUGCGUAGAUAUCGAGAGGAACACCUGCGGCGAAGGCGGGUUGCUGGGCUGACACUGACGCUGAUGCGCGAAAGCUAGGGGAGCGAACGG
rnacentral:rRNA from 1 species